UUCAGCACACUUUAAUCACGGCGUUAUCUCAGAGUGCAGCUCCAGCCCCAUAAAUCCUGCUGAGGCCAGAGGGAUGCGGGGUGCCCCAGCCCACGGGACCUAUCCCCAUAGCCAGGCACACAGCUGGGCAGAGCUCCCUGCGGCCUUAUCAACGCAGAGAAGUUGUAUUGCAGCAAUUACACGGCUGUUAAUUAUCGCACCAAGGCCAGUCGCUGCGCAGUGAGCAGCGAGCAGCCCCCGCAGCACAGUCUGGGAGGAAAAGGCAAAAAACACAGCGCUUGCUUCUCAUGUCAGAGGACGGGAAAUCAAUCUUUGCUGCACUGACAGCCUCACCCUGCAAUGUACUCCCGCGUGUAAUGACUGCAAUAACUCAGCACGUGGAUUGCAGUGCCAGCCCUGCAGGCUGCGUGGGGGACGCGAGGGGAGGGCGCAGAGGGCUCCGUCCCCACGGUGCUGAGCUGGGUGUCACACUGAGCGGGUGUCACCCACGUGCUGAGGGCUCUGCUGGCUCAGGGACUCUCUCGGAUGCUGGUGGUGACCGCGUGGUCCCAGCAGCUGCCUGGCGCUGGAUUGCAUUCAUCUCCCAGGCUGCACUCAGAGGGAAAUCCUUCAUUCCCAAGCCAGCCUGUCCAACUGAUAAUUUAGGCAGCUCCAGACAGAUAAGCAUUAUUUACAUCUGUUUAGUGAGCUGUAAUUAGCUGUGAUGAUUAGGCUCUAUCAUGGUGCCAUUUUUAAAAAUGUCUCUAAGUGGAAGGAAGGAAGGGGAGGGGGGGGCACACAGAGGACAACGUGGGACUGGGGGUUGUGUGCACCAUCCAUCCCUCGACUCCUCCAGGACGCCCACCCCAAAAGUGCCCAACACAGAGCCUGGGGCUUCCCUGGCACACAGCGGGGCUGGACGCAAACACCAUCCCCUGGAGCUCAAUGGGAACAGGGUGCAUGUCCUGGGGACAGGCUGGGAAUAGGUUGGGGAUAGGCUGGGGACAGGUUGGGGAUAAGUUGGGAAUAGACUGUUGACAGGCUGGGAAUAGACUAGGGACAGGCUGUGAAUGAGUUGAGGACAAGCUGGAGGUUGGCUGGGGACAGGAUGGGAAUAAGUUGGGGAUGGGCUGGGGAUAGGUUGGGGAUAGGCUGGGGACAGGCUGGGUAUAGGUUGGGAAUAGGUUAGGGAUAGCAAUAAGACACACUGGGGACACGUUGGGAGCAGGUUGGGGACAGGCUGGGUGGGCAUCAGGGCUGUGUCUGCACCUCUCACCCAGCCAUCAUAGGCUGGAGCUCAGCGUUUGGGUGCUCCCAGUGCUCCCCAGUGAGCCGGGCAGCUCUCCCCAUCCCUUCCUCCUCAGGCACCAAUGGGACCACGGGAGCAGAGGAAGCCCGGACCAGAAAUGCGUGCAGGGACGAUUUCCUCUGCAGACAGGAAAGCUCUGAGCGGGGCUUCAAGUGAUGCCGCUGCCGAGCUUUGAGCCUCCAGACACUUCCUGCAAUGACAAAAGGCUUCCAGCUGAAGUUCCUCCAUUUCAGUCCCAAAGGCUCUGCAGCCGAGCGUAUCCCUGCCACUGCUGUCCCCUAUGGGGCUGUGGGGCUGGGCUUGAUCUCGGCUGGCUGUCGGGACGCAGAAAUGCCCUUUGUGUCUGAGCUGAGGCCUCCAGGCUCCAUCAAAGCUCUAUUUCUGCAGGCGGCAAACACAGCCUUCCUGUCUGCAAAUCAACAAUAUCACCACUUUCUAUUUCCCACCUUUCAAUUACAGGGCUUUUUCCCAUUUAAGAAGCACAUCAGCGGGUGAAGGAGACAGGUAAGGGCUCAGUGCUGCAGCGGUUCCCUGCAUUGAUUUCUCAAAAACAAGUGCUUCAUGCCACUUGUUGGGCUACGGGGCAGGACGCCGUGUGCUCUGCCGCAGUUACAUGUAUUGCACGCUGCAUUUCCCAUGAGAUUUCAACAUUAUGGCCAAGGAAACUGAAAGCAAGGAGCUGAAAGCAAGCAGGUUAGUGAGGGUAAAGAGCCCUUAUGGGGUGUUUGGAAGGGAAAGAGGUAAGGCUUUGUUCCCCCGGGUGUCAAUGCAAGCAGCGGGUGCCGUGUGGGACUAUGCUGGUGCCACGGCCAUGAGCAUCCUCCCGUCCUGCACAGCCCGUGGUCGGCCCAGAGCUGCUAUUUCGGGCCGGGUAAACAGGAUGCACGGUGCACAGCCACCUCCUCUCCUCCAGCUCCUCCCGGGUAAACAGGCAGGGAACAGCCGGAGUGCUCCGCCUUGGCCUCCUCCUCUUCCUCCCCAAGGCACAGCUGCCCGUUGGCUGCACUCAGGGCCGUGGGGUCCGCGCACACCGUCUCACGGCUGCACCGCGCGUCCUGCAGCGGGGAUCCCGCACCGCUGCUUCCGUCUCCUGCACCGGGAAGGAGCGGCGGCGCGGCGGCGUUGGAAGGAGGAGCUCCGCACCGCUUCCUCCGGCUGCUUCGUUCCCUUUGAGGCGUGCAGCAGCCCGGGGCACGGCCGUGCCCAGCCCCACUGAGACGUGCGGUGGGGUUUUGCUGGGCUGGGGGGACGUAACCCAUCCCAGAAGCCCCAGUUCGAUGUUCCCUCUGGUCUGGGCGCUGCUGGCG
ensembl:lncRNA